rnacentral:lncRNA from 1 species
GAUAGUCAUUGUGAUGCCCCCAAAAUAGGUAUACAUCACCCAUCUUAGGUCGCCAAAUACAUGAUACUGAAUACAAAUACAAACUUAAUUAUACAACAUGAGCUGAGAGUUUUUACACGAAUUUUUUCUUCUAGACAAUUUCCAAACUCAAAUGGAGUCCUCAUUUUAUUUAUUGUCACACUAUUUUAUAGAAUAGUGAGGACUACUAUAACACCAUCUCGGACCAUCACUCCGUUCCCCGACUAGUUCUGGCUACGUUCUCAUUUCCUGAAAAGAACAAUAAAAGUAAAAGGGUGAGCUCAACUAGCCCAGUAAGAAAU